rnacentral:rRNA from 1 species
GACGAACGCUGGCGGCGUGCUUAACACAUGCCAGUUGAACGGAAAGGCCCUGCUUUUGUGGGGUGCUCGAGUGGCGAACGGGUGAGUAACACGUGAGUAACCUGCCCUUGACUUUGGGAUAACUUCAGGAAACUGGGGCUAAUACCGGAUAGGAGCUCCUGCUGCAUGGUGGGGGUUGGAAAGUUUCGGCGGUUGGGGAUGGACUCGCGGCUUAUCAGCUUGUUGGUGGGGUAGUGGCUUACCAAGGCUUUGACGGGUAGCCGGCCUGAGAGGGUGACCGGCCACAUUGGGAGUGAGAUACGGCCCAGACUCCUACGGGAGGCAGCAGUGGGGAAUAUUGCACAAUGGGCGGAAGCCUGAUGCAGCAACGCCGCGUGCGGGAUGACGGCCUUCGGGUUGUAAACCGCUUUCGCCUGUGACGAAGCGUGAGUGACGGUAAUGGGUAAAGAAGCACCGGCUAACUACGUG